GUUCUCUUAAAAUCUUCACGCAUGGAAGCCCCUGGAUUACGAGCUAAUCCAAAGAAAACUGCAAAGGCUCUUGAACUGACGGAUUCAAUCCCUAUUCCAAAGCAACCACACAAGAGAGACUUAACAAGAGCUGUAAUUAUUAUUAUUAUUCAACUUAAUUUCACAAGCUUAAUGCAUGAGACUAAUUUCACAGGAUUACGUCACAAUGAUAAAGAUUAAAUGUUUUUUAUUUUGAUUGUAGUGACAAAAGUUUUACUUUGUAGUGGUACGUUGUGUUGAAAUCUUGACCUUGACACUGUCCUGUGCUAAGACCCUGAAAAAACAGGCAGCAACACAUAUGGUGGAUGCCCUGAAGGAGGAACUGAGGGAAAAAAAAGUACCUGAUCCUGACACGGCCCCACCACUUUUUGACUCAGAGUCAGACUCUGACUCAACAGUCAUUUUUGAUGAAUCCUCUCCCAUGAAGGAACCAUCAAGAAUUGUAAGUGUUGCAAAAAAUAAUAUCAAAAUAAUACUUUUAUAUUAAACAAAAUGCUAACAUAUUUUUUUUCUUACAGCUUGAAUCAGAAAGUGAGGAUGUUAGCCCAUCACAGUGCCCAAAAAAGAAACCAAAGCUUGACAAUGAAAUUGUCAGUGCAUUGAAAGGUAUUUUAGGAUGAAGAGUAGUUAGUUUUAUAGUUGACGAAGCACAUGAGUUUAAAACCAAUAUAAUGUUCACCAUGUUUGUAUCACUAGAGUUGCCAAAGGUAGUAAAAACCCUAAAAGAUAUAGUGAUGGUGGCUCCAGCCUCAUCGAGUCAAGUGCAAGAUACAUUUGUUGGAUCACCGCCUGCAGAAAUGAUAUACCUGGGAGAAGGAAUCAACAUUCCAAAAAAGACAUUCGAUCGAUUGUCUAAGACCAAAAUGUCAGUGUUUACCCAGGAGCUGGCAGUUGUCAUUUUUGGACGCGAGGUUCUGGCGACAUCAAGUCUAACGGGCAAAAAAACCAACAAAACAGCGCUGGACUCCAUCAAAGUGAAUGCGCUCAUCGAUGCUGUGAUUUCUCGUUUUGAAGGGACCACUCCUUCCCAAAUCAGGGCUUUACUUUGACAAAAGUGUAACAAUGAGGGUUAUGCUAAAAAAAUUCAGGAAAGUGGUGUGUUUAAAGGUGAUAAUAAUUAAUUGAGCAUUUGUAAAAGGCUGAAGUGACCUACUAAAAGGGUAGUCAAUUAAAAGUUCUAGCAGUUCUUUAUUUGUUCUCUGUAGUGUUAGUGUCUAUGUCUGUUGUUAAAAUGUGAAAAAUUCAUACUGUAAGUUAACUCUUUUGAUUGUUUUAUUUAAUUAUGCAAUAUUGAUACUUGUUUGAUUCAAAUUUUACAAUAUUAAACUAUUCUGCUCAUGUUUUUUUCUAAUGUAUUUGUUUUAUUAUAAAUGUAAGCAUUGGGGGCUUUGUUUGUUCGCAAUGCAUUCAACUGAAAUUAAUGCAUAUUUAAUUAACUACAAUUACUUUUCAGU
ensembl:lncRNA